UACGGGGGGGGCAAGCGUUGUUCGGAAUUACUGGGCGUAAAGGGCUCGUAGGCGGCCAACUAAGUCAGACGUGAAAUCCCUCAGCUUAACUGGGGAACUGCGUCUGAUACUGGAUGGCUUGGAUCCGGGAGAGGGAUGCGGAAUUCCAGGUGUAGCGGUGAAAUUCGUAGAUAUUCGCAAGAACACCAGUGGCGAAGGCGGCUCACUGGCCCGAUACUGACGCUGAGGCACGAAAGCGUGGGGAGCAAACAGG
rnacentral:rRNA from 1 species